CAAGUCCCCCAAACGAAGACCUAUGCUAGAUUGGCUCUACCCAGUCAAGAAAUGUAGACCAGCCUCUGUGCCCCACUGUGAUGAGUACUGUGGGUUAGCUCUCAACCUCCAGCCCACCCUUGUAGGCACCUUCCCAGCUGUAGAGGUCAGAAAGCCAAAAGCUAUACUCACAGACUCCUUUGUAGCUAAGGUUCUGGUUGUAAAUAAGGUGGAAAUUAGAUGGCGGCCCUUUUUUUUCCUUUGCUGGAAGCCAGGUUGUGGAAACGUGGUUUUUCUGCAGCAACAUUCCAGCACCCAUUUUUCCUGCUAUGAAGAGGCGGCUGUGGUGGCAGCUUCUUGUCGGAGUUCUCCUGGUCCCUGACUGGCGACUAUGGAGGUCUAUGUUAAAUCAGCAGUUCCAGCAGAGGGUCAGAGGUAGUCGUUCCACAGCGGGCCAGUUUUCCCAUGUUCUCGGAGUCACCCCUGGAGGCCUUAUCCCAGAGCCAGCUCUCCCCUCCUUCUGCUCUUUCCAGCGAUGUUGUAAGCACUGAUACUUGAUGUGGCUCACUGUAGCAGAAUUCUUGGGAACAGUGUCUUCAGUUAUGCCAAGAAGAAUGGCAUUUCUCACAAGGAAGUGUGCCGCUGACUUAGAGCUGUCUGUUGGAAGGUUAUAGAGCUCUUCAAGGGAACAGAGUGUGUCCUGCUCAUCUUUACAUCCCAAGUACUUGACCCAAGGCCUAACACAUAAAGAACACUUGGUAAAUGUUUGUCGAACUGAACUAAAUUGUGAACAUCACAUAGGGAGCCUGUAGCCUACCUAAGAAGUGGAAAAAUACAUUUCCAGUUUAUGCUUCCAGUUUCAUUUGGGACUUGGGUGAUGUCGGACUUCCCUUCGCCAUGCAAUCCGUCCCGGACAUCGAUGGGGCUGCCUUGGUGAAGAAUGGUUCACCCAUCCUUUCACCCAUCUCUCACAUCACUUUGAGACCUUAGAUGGUCUCUUGCUGGGUGCACAUUCAUUGUAUCAUCUAAAGAGUAUUUCCUAUAAAAGUUUCUGGUGAUUGGAGCUUCUGGAUUGGUGAAUACAUCAAGAUUCUGGGAGGGUGAUGUUCCAGGAGAGGGCAUGGGAGCUCCACAUUCCUCCUCCCAUACCUUGCCCUAUGCAUCUCUUCCACUGUUCCUGAGUUGUAUCCUUUAUAAUAAUAAUAGUCACAGUAAGUAAAGCACUUUCCUGAGUUCUUUGAGUCAUUCUAGUGAAUUAUCGAGUCUUGGAGAGGGGACUGUGGGAACCCCCAAAUUUGUAGCCAAGUCAGAUCCUGUCCACCCUGUUUGCAACUGGUGUCUGAAGUGAGGGCAGUCUUAUGGGACUGAGCCCUUAACCCUGUGGAGUCUGAUGCUAACUCUGGAUAGUUAGUGUCAGAAUGGAAUUGAAUUGUAGGAUGCCUAGUUGAUGUCAAAGAAUCAGAGAAUUGGCUGUUGUGUGGAAAGCCUCCACACAUUUGGUAUCAGAAGUAUUGUGAGUAAAAACAGCGCUUUUGGUGUUAGAAAAUGUGGGAUUCGCUAAAACAGCCCGUGCCCACUGAAACAGGUGGUUCGGGAAGAGAAAGAAUUAAAGGAUGCAGGAUGAGAAACCUUUCAUUCCUGGGUGGCCACGUGGCCACUCAUAGGGUGGUGCAGCAGCUGUGCUGCAAUAAGUUACUAAAGGUAAAAGUUACCAAGGGAAUGUAGAGUUGGAUCCACUUCCCAGGGAGUUGGUUCAUUGGAUGUAUAAGAAAUACAAACAAAUAAGAAAAAAGCAAAAUAUACAGUCCCUUGGUUAUUGGUAUCUAUAAUAGCUAAAAUAAAUUAAAAGAGUGCUAGGUCAGAUCUUGAUGCUGAACCAAACUCAGAUUUCGAUCAGUCUGAGCUUCAACCACUAGUGUCAAAGCCACCUGCAAAAGGAAGGAUUAAGCAAGACAACAGAGAGUACCCCUAAUACCCCUGGUCACCAAGAAGAUGGUCCUCACUGAGGGAGGGCAAAACCAAAAAACUAUUGAAACCAGGAGGUACAGUGUGAAGGAGCUGUUGAAACCGGAAAACAAUCAUUGACGAUUAAGUAUCUAGGUAUUAAAGUUUUUUCCUUUUUGCAAUUACUGAUUAUAGCUUUUAGCUGUUUCACCCACCCAUUGUUAACUGUGCUGCUUAGGCAAUAUGCUGUCUGACUCCCACUAGGCUCCUAUAGAGAACAUCUUCCUGGAGCCUGGGUCACCAUGGUAGGUAAUGAGUGUGUGAGCUGUUUUUCAGGAAUUAGAACUCCUUGUCCACUCCAGGCUGGUUGAGACCACCAACUCAUCGACUGGGCCCACAGAGAUGUCCAAUAAGCGACCUUUUGAUGUCAAGACGCUAAAAACUCCACCCUCAGAUCAUGCUAACACCAUCAUUUUGUAAACAUGGGUCCUAUGAAGAGGCAUGAAGUCUGACUACGCUUGCACACAUCAUCAAUUACCUCAUCUCUCCUCACCUCCAAUCACCUCUCUCCACAUUUCAGACCACCUUGCCCCCCCCAUCCCAUAAAUAUCCCUGAGCCCCUAUUUUCAGGGAAGUGAAUUUGAGGCUCAUGCUCUCGCUUCCUCA
rnacentral:lncRNA from 1 species